CUGCUUCCAGUAGCUUGUUGACAGAACGUCUGUGUCUCUGUAGCUUGGAAAGCUUGCUUUACAAGUAUUUUAGCUGGUGUGGUGUCACAGUCACAAGCUUUUACACAACUGAGAGUUCAUGUAUUCUGUCUUCCUAGAUAGACAGUGUUUGGCUGCCUGCUUCACAGGGGCCGGUUGCUGAGUCAUUUCAAACUGAGGCUCCGAUGCUGCCAGGUCUAUUUCCAGAGUUUCCGUCUUAAGAUCUAUAAGUGGGCACCGUGGUGGCCUUAAAGCUUAGUCCAACAUCAAGUGUAAUGAGUAAAAAGAAGAAGCGAUGUCGCUGGAGGAGAAGUAGCAGAUGGGUUGAGAGACACCAGACCCCAGCAGGCGAGAAGCAGAGGCUUGUGUAAUAGCAAGGACGCCCACUUCACAGACGGGUGAGGAAUGAGUGACUCAAGGGAAAAAAUGAGAAGGAAGAGCUCCAAUUGGUCUGUUUAUAGGCAGUGGUAUACGAAGCACCAAGCAGGAAUAUACAGCAGGUGCUUAACAUUUGAGACUUUCUUCAGUCACAUCCAAAGUAAAGUCAGAUCAGAUCAAAGCUUUGCCCUCUGUCAGCCUUGUCUUCUGUUUGAGAGGUGUGAAAUUAUUUUGGGUUUAUUUAUUAUAAGUCAAGGUGAGGACAGGACCACACCUUUCCCUCUGAUGACAGGAGCCUCUCUGCUUCCUAAGCGUCCUUCACAUGAGUGAAUAGUACUGAAUGAUCUGCAACAGGGGGUCUGUGAUUGUCAGGUUUGUCCUUGGUGGUGACAUUAAUAUUACAGCGCAUAGAGUGUGAGUUCUGGUCGUUGUCGACAGGUACCUUUUUAUAAGGAGUGCACUGUUUAUACAUCGUCAAAGAGGAUGUUAAUGCUGGUGAAUGCUGUGUCACCUCAGUGGGACAAGCCUGGAUCCAUUUUAAAAACCAUCACCAUCGUGUUCCUGUUGUCACGCUGUGAUAUUCUCCACUUGAGCACCAUGCCACCUUUCAAAUAUAAAUGAUUAAGUUUAAAUAUGUUCAUAAAUAGUUUGUUCUCUUCUGAUUUGUGUCUGUGGCAUCAAAUCAGUGCAGUUCUUUUCAAACAGUGUGUUGAUAUUACAGGUGUUUAGCCAAGCUGCAAAUUAAGUGUGAACAAGGAAAGUCCCCUGACCAGAACAUGUUACUUUUCUAAUUUACAUGGUCUGCCCCUGUUAAUAAGCCAUACUCCUGAAUAUAGUGUAUGUUUCCCCACUCUGUGCUCAUAAAGGUUCCAUGAGUCUCUGUUUUGCCCACUUCAGACGCCCUUUAUUUGAACAUUGUGGAGGCUGUGUCUGCAUGUCACCGCUAGGUGGCGAUAGACUCCCAGUUGCAGGCAGCUGUGGUUGAAUGAAUGAAUCUUUGGGCUUCAGAGCAGCAACAUUGACAUAAUUUACAAAGCUAUCCGCUAAAAUGCCAAAAAAUCAUGGACUCAAAUUAAUUCCCAGCUUCAGUAAAAGGAAGUGUGUGUGGAUCCCAUUCCAUUUUCACUUAAAUCAAAAUUAAACAUUUAUUACUGCAGCUUUAAUAUAUAUGGCCUUAAGAAACAGAUAUGAGGUACACUGACUUAUGGGUUAAAUAAUGACUCCACCAACAUAAAUGGAUUGUGUGUAUUAAGCAACAGAACCAUCUUUUGAUUUUUUGAGGUUUUAUAUAUAUUUUUUAUAUCUUCUGCUCCUCUGUCUCUCUCUGCCUCUUCUUCCACAUAAUCGUUUGUUGAUCGCCCUAUUAGCCGUUUGCUCUUUGCUAUCUGCCUGAAUCGGCCCCGUUAUGUGUCAUGGCUCCAUAACACGCGGUGCUGUGAAAUGUCCCACUUCUUGGUUCACACAGGCCGGAGCAUGACUGGAGGUCUGUGAGCUCUCAAGCGAGGGGAAAGCUGAGCAGUCGGAACCAGAGACCGGGCCAGAUGAAUUUUUAGGGCUGCACACAAACACCGCAGGGACAGAUUGAUGCACUGUUGGCUGCAUGUUGCAUACGCCACUGAAAUAUUCCAUGUCAUGGACCCAGUGCAACGUGACCGUAGACGUGUUGUCGGCAGGAGGUUUGUUCAGGAGACUUCAGUUCAUGCUAAAUGAACGAAGCGCAUCAAGGUCACGUGUAUUUUUCUGUUGUGUGUUUUCCCUGGAUAUUAUUCACAUCAGAUAUUUUGAUAAAUGGGAUCAGUAUUAUGUAGCACAUAAACAAGUCCAACCCCAUUAGUAGUGCAGCUAAAUGGUUAAUGUUCUCAAAGUGAGUCGUCCUAAUGUGGUGUUUUCUCCAGAAUCCAAUCAUUCAUUAUUCGAAUGAAAUGGAGAGAAGCUGUAAAUCCUCCAGAACACAGCCAAACAAAACUCUGAACACGUCAGCUGUGAUGGUUUAAGGUUCAUGCCUGCCUCGGCUGGAGCUCGUCGGGGUCGUCCUCCACGGCAUUUCCAGCCAGGCAGCAGUAGAUGGUGAGAUGGGGUUCGUCUCCCCUCGGCGACGCGCACCGGAACCAGUGAAGAGCUGCAGCGUCUCAGGAAUCCACUCGUGAGCAUUCGUCAGCGUUUGCUGACAGUAUCAGCCCCUUAGGAGCGGCGCUGUACUGAGGAGGUUCCACGUGCAGCCCGUAGUCAGAGGAAAUGGAUGCGGUGCAGUAAUUGGGUGGAUCUGUCACUGGACGUGGUUGAUGUCAAAGUCAGCUUUGAGAAGUUCCUGUUCUCAUGAACAACUUUUCCAACAGGACGUGAUCAAUGUUCUGCAAACAGCAUCUGAGAUAUUUAAUAUACACAUAAAUGCUGUAGUUGAUGAUGUAAUUGAGGCCUGUAGGACGUUGUUAAUCUCUCAAAUAGGCUGCAGACAAACUAGCAGCUGUGAAAAGCAGUCUCCUGUAGUUUAAUGGAGUUUUUUUUUUAACCCUUCUGUCCAGAUGGGCGGAUGCUGUUGCCUGCCCCUUAUUUGUCGCUGAGGUGCUUUCAGAGCUUUGAUCUCGCAUCCAUCGGGUGUUUAAUCACCAUUGGCAGUUUAGGCAGCUUUAUCCGAUCGCAGUGACACUGAUGAUUAAUGGACGGCGACGGGGCCGUGUCCCUCACAUUCCUGUUUGUCAGCGUUCCUUUGUAGACAAAGUCCCUUGAAUGUCACCCACUUACUUGUUGUGUGAUGAAAUUAGCAGAGGAAUUAUGAAGUGGUGACAGGAUGCUUGUUGUAUUUUAAUAACACUUGCACCUUGUCAACAGACACUAAUAGAGAGAACAUGACAGACGAGAGGACGCUCAUGUGUUAUUAAGUGUUUUUCUUCUUCACGAACUGGAAAAGAAAUGAGUCUGAGAGAAUCAUUAGUUUCACCCAUGUAACGAAUAUCUAAAGGAGUUUGUUGUGU